AACAACUGAAGUAGACCAAAGUGCUGUACAGAAGAAUAUAUAAACAUAAAAUACCCAACUCAUACAAGACAUAGAAUACAAAUAAAACAAAUUAAGAAACAAAUGUCAAAAUCAAGUGGCAAAGGCCAAAGAGAAAAGGUGGGUUUUAAGAAGCGACUUAAAAGAAGACAAUGAAGAGGCUUGUCUAAUGGGCAGAGGCAGAUCAUUCCACAGUUUAGGAGCUGCCACAGCAAAGGCACGGUCCCCUCUGAGCUUAUGUUUUGUUUUGGGCACAUUCAGGAGCAGUUGAUCAGCUGACCUGAGAGAACGGGUGGGUGUAUAAGGGUGUAACAGCUCAGAAAUGUAGAGUGGGGCAAGACCAUUUAAAGAUUUAAAAACAAAUAAGAGAAUUUUAAAAUGGAUCCUGAAAUUUAUGGGCAGCUAGUGAAGUGAGGCUAAAAUAGGGGAAAUGUGCUCAUAUUUGCUUGUUCCAGUUAACAGACGUGCUGCAGCGUUUUGAACCAUCUGCAGACGAGCAACAGAAGACCCACUAACCCCCACAUACAGUGCGUUACAGUAAUCCAGCCAAGUGGUGACAAAGGCAUGGAUUACUGUCUCAAAGCGUUGCCUUGAAAGAAAUGGUUUUAUUUUGGCCAGCUGCCUCAAUUGAAAAAAGCUAGAUUUAACGACUGCCCUGAUCUGACUGUCAAGCUUAAGGUCAGCGUCGAUUUUAACCCCUAGGUUAGUAAUGGUUGGUUUGUUGUACUGGGCCAAGGCCCCCAAAUCAACAGAAGGAGUCCCAGUGGUGCCACCAAAAACCAUCACCUCUGUCUUUUUUACAUUAAAACUUCCAGGCAUCCAGGCCUGUAUAUCAAGACACUCGAGUAACGGUCUGACAGUGUUGUUCUUUUUAAGAGGCACAUAAAUCUGGCUAUUGUCUGCGUAAAAAUGGAAAGACAUGCCUAGGACCUAAACCAUUCGAGCACUAUGCCCUUGAUGCCCACCCACUGCUCCAAACGUGAGAUCAGGAUUUCAUGGUCCACAGUGUCAAACACAGCAGUUAAAUCAAGAAGCACAAGAAUAACACAAUCACCAGAGUCAGUAGCUAAAAAUAUAUCAUUAAACACUUUCAAAAGAGCAGAUUCUGUGCUGUGCAAAUUUUUAAAACUGGACUGGAAAAUUUCAAGAAUAUUGUGGCCUUUCAAAAAGGCCAUUAAUAGACUGCAGACUAUCUUUUCAAGGAUUUUUGAAAGAAAAGGUAGUUUGGAAAUUUACAAGAUCUACAGGAUCCAGACCAGGUUUUUUAAUCAGAGGUUGCACUACUGCGUGUUUAAAAUUUUUAGGAACCACACCUGAGGACAGACUGCUAUUAACAACUGCAAGAACAGAUGGCCCUACAGUAGGAAAGACCUCUUUAAAAAGUCGAGGAGAAACAGCAUCAUGUGGAGAACCUGAGGGCUUCAAAUGAUCAACAAAUCUCCUGUAACACAGACAAGGUCACAGGCUCAAACCUGUCAAAAACAGCAGAACAGAGGACAGGGAUUGAGGGGUCAUAAGCAUAUAUAAUCCUAUAUAUUCUAUAUAUAACCACUUGAGAAAUGUAUAAACAUGUAUCCAAUUUUCCCAUCUCAUGAUUUUCCUUUUAUAGGCUUUGGCCUAUGUAUUAAUUCUCUCUUUUGAACUCUUUCGGUAUUAUUGUUUCAGAGUUGCAUACUAUGGUUAACUAAAAUCACAUGGGUAGCAUGUUUGGUAUCGAUGGACUCCAACUUUCGUUUCCUAUUUGAACAAAGACUCAUAAAGUUUCCUCCGAGGGAACAACUCUUUAUUGGCUCAGUCACUUUAAGAAGAAGCUUCUAAGGAACUCCAAGCUUGUGCCAGGCUCUGGCCUAGACUUUCCAUUCACCAAAGAUCCUCUGAAUCCAACUGGUUCUCUUUCAUCAAGACAACAUCAACAAAGAUCAACGGGAGCCUCUACAAAUUGCAUCAGGACAGUUUAAUCCAAAUUGGCGA